rnacentral:lncRNA from 1 species
CCUUCAGCUCUGACACCGACAUGGAGCUGCUCAGGGACACCUGGAAUUCGUUGCCCGCCAGCAUCUUCACCGUCAGGUCCCAGCCCUGCAGGCGUCACACAGGUUCAGAGACUGCGGCGCCAGCCCCAGGCCCACCACACACAAGGCACUGGCUGCAGGGCGAGCUCCUGUACCCAGGGACAGUGCUCCCUCCUGUCUGUCCUCUACAUCCCGCCGGCAGGGACCCCAGGCACAGAAGGCACUGAGGGCUCGUUACUAGAAGGCCAGCUGCCCACCGCCAUCCCGUGGCCUCCCUUUACCUGCUAGGGUGCCCCUCUGUGCCCCACCCUGAGGAUCUCAGGGGUGACCUGCUUUCAGGAGCACACUUAGAACCUGGCCAAGCUCUGAGCAGCUCCGCUCUCCCUGCACCCCUGGGAGACCUUGGCUGGGGGAGGGAGACGAAAAUUGGCUGGCACAGAGCCCACCUCCCCCCACCUGUGACAUCUGCCUUACCAUGGCUGUGGGCUGUGGGCUGUGGGCCACGGCACAAGCUCCUGUACUGGCAAAGAUGAGUUCGCUGCCUCUCAGCCGCCGGCUUCGGCAGGCAGCACCGGCCCUAUUAUAAGCCUGAGGCACACACGUCAGGGGGCGUGCCGCCGAGCCUGCGCUGGUGGCCAAAUUUGGCUUCAGUUUCGGUUUCCCUUUCCCGAGGCAUGCCCCAGAGUGAGCGGAAGAAACAAAACCGAAUGACCGAAAGACAGGGAAAAGCAAAAGUGGCGGGGACUCCGGACAGCGGACGGCAUCCCCACCCCCACCCAACACCCUGGAAACACCUAAAUAUCGCGCAUUCCAGAUCCUUCACAGGAUGCACUAAAGCUGUCAUCACAUGGACUAAUGGUUUCAUUUUCCAUUUACCAACUUGCAAAAUUAGUAAACUUGGAAAACAUCCCCAUGGUUAAUUGAGAAACAAGAACUCCAAACUACCCAGAGAUAACAACACUCGGUUUAGGGCAGUAUUUGCUCAGAUUGGUGUUUUUUUGUUGUUGUUUUUGUGUUUUUGAGACAGGGUCUCUCACUCUGUCGCCCAGGCUGGAGUGCAGAGGCACGAUCUCAUCUCAUUGCAACCUCCGCCUGCCAGGCUAAAGCGAUCCUCUCACCUCAGCCUCCCACGUAGCUGGGACCACAGGGGUGCACCACCAGGCCCGGCUAAUUUUUUGUAUUUUUAGUAGAGAUGGGGGUCUCGCCAUGUCGCCCAGGCUGAUCUCGAACUCCUGGGCUCAAGUGAUCCACCUGCCUCGGCCUCUGAAACUGCUGGGAUUACAGGCGUGAGCCACUGCACCCGGAGCCUCAGAUUGUUUUUUAAUAAAAGAGACCUAUCUUUUAUUUUCUACAAAAAUGAACUCUGGGACACUAUUGAGAAAGUGAAAAGACAAUCCAUAGAAUGGGAAGAAAUAUUUGCAAAUUAUCUAUCUGAUGAGGGCAUAGCAUCCAGGACAUAUAGAGAACUCUUACAACUCAAUAAAAAAUAAAAAUAAAAAAAAAAGGCAACUCAAUUUUCAAAUGGCCAAAAGACUUCAAUAGACAUUUCUCCAAUGACAUAGAAACGGCUGUAAAGUGAUGUUCAACAUCAUUAUUAAUUGGGGAAAUGCAAAUCAAAACCCCAGUGAGAUGCUAUUUCCUGCUGGUAUGACUGUAAUAAUAAAAAUAAAGGCCAGGCCGGGUGCGGUGGCUCACGCCUGCAAUCCCAACACUUUGGGAGGCUGAGGCGGGCGGAUCACCUAAGGUCAGGAGUUUGAGACCAGCCUGGCCAACAUUUUUAGUAGAAACCCCAUCUCUACUAAAAAUACAAAAAUUAGCUGGGCGUGGUGGUGCACGCCUGUAAUCCCAGCUACUUGGGAGGCUGAGGCGGGAGAAUCCCUUGAACCCAGGAGGCAGAGAUUGUGGUGAGCCAAGAUUGCACCAAUGCACUCCAGCCUGGGCAGCAGAGCAAGACAGUCUCAAAAAAUAAUAUAAAAUAAACAUAAAGGCAGUAACAAGCACUGGGGAAUACAUAGAGGAACUGGAAUCCUGGUACAUGCAUUGCUGUUGAGAAUGUAAAACAGUGCGGCCGCCGCGAUGCUCAAAACGUUCAACAGAAUUAUUGGGAACCCAGCAGUUCCACUUCUAGGCAUGUGUCCAAAAGAAUUGAAAAUAGGUGUUCAAAUACUUGCAUACAAAUGUCCAUGGCAGCACAGUUUACAAUAAACAAGUAGCAGGAACGGAGCACAUGUCCAUCAGUGAUGGAUGGACACACAAAGUGUGGAAUGUCCACACAACGGAAUAUUAUGCAGCCAUGAAAAGGACUGAGGCACUGAUUCAUGUGAAAGAACCUUGAAAACGUUAUGCUAAGUGGAAAGAGCCAGACACGAAGGCCGCAGAGUGUUGGUUCCAUUCACCGCAGGGGAAACGACCGGAACUGGUAGAGCCGCAGCACAGGAAGCCGACCCCGUUACCGGGGGCCAGGGAGGGGGAGUGGGGGGUGAUUGCUUCAGAGCCACAAGCCCCUUUGGGGGUGACAAUGUUUCAGAACUCCACAGAGGUGAUGGUUGGACAACGUGGUAAAUAACUAAACGCCACUGGAUUUCAUUCUUUAAAAUGGUUAGUUUUAUGUUAUAUGAAUUUCACAUCAAUAAAAAGCAAAGGUGAAAAGGCCUCACCAUACUUUCACUGUUUUGUAACCUGCUUCAUUCAUGCAACAGUGUAUCAUAAACAUCUAUCCAGGCCAGGCGGCUCAUGCCUGUAAUGCCGGCAUUUCGGGAGGCUGAGGCGGGAGGAUCAUUUGAGAUCAGGAGUUCGAGACCAGCCUGACCUACAUGGCGAAACCCCAUCUCUACUAAAAAUACAACAACAACAAAAAAGGCCAGGUACAGGGGCUCACGCCUGUAAUCCCAGCACUUUGGGAGGCCGAGGCAGGCAGAUCACCUGAGGUCAGGAGUUCAAGACCAGCCUGGCCAAUAUGGUGAAACUCCGUCCCUACUAAAAAUGCGAAAAAUUAGCUGGGCAUGGGCCGGGCGCAGUGGCUCACCUGUAAUCCCAGCACUUUGAGAGACCGAGGCGGGUAGAUCACCUGAGGUCAGCAGUUUGAGACCAGCCUGGCCAACAUGGUGAAACCCCAUCUCUACUAAAAAUACAAAAAUUAGCUGGGCGUGGUGGUGGGCACCUGUAAUCCCAGAUACUUGGGAGGCUGAGGCAGGAGAAUCACUUGAGCCUGGGAGGCGGAGGCUGCAGUGAGCCGAGAUCGCUUCACUGCACUCCAGCCUGGGUGAGAGAGCGAGACCCUGUCUCAAAAAAAAAAAAAAAAAACCCAAAAAACAAAAACACGCAUCUAUCCGUGUUGGUGGACGCAUCUGUGCAGGUUGUUUUAACAACUGCAUGUUUCCCAUGGAAGAAUGAGCCUGUUACAGUACAGAGUUAAUUUAGUUAAAACCCAUCCCACAUCACUGAAUACUUAGGCUGUUCCCAAAUUGUUGUUGUUACACACAGCACAUAACAAGAGAAGGAUAGCUAAGACUCAGUAAUAAACAAAUAAAUAAAAUAUUUAAAUAAGAUUCAAAUAAAUAAAUAAAUAAUUUUUAAAUAAACAAGUGUAAGAGUGAAAAAUCAACAUAUUCUGAAUAUGAAUCCUGGCCCUUCCCCGUCUCCCAGCAAAUCUCAGGGGUCACCAAAAUUGUCAGCAUCUGAAAACCAAAGAGGAGGCGGGGUGGCGGCUCACGCCUGUGAUCCCAGCGCUUUGGGAGGACGAGGCGGGCAAAUCACUUGAGGUCAGGAGUUCAAGACCAGCCUAGCCAACAUGGUGAAACCCCAUCUCUACUAAAAAUGCAAAAAUUAGCUGGGUGUGGUGGCUCACACCUGUAGUCCCAGCUACUCGAGAGGCUGAGGCAGGAGAAUUGCUUGAGCCCUGGAGGUGGAGGUUGCAGUGAGCUGAGAUCGCGCCACUGCCCUCCAGCCUGGGCGACGAGAACAAGACCCUGUCUCAAACAAACAAACACCACAGUCCCAGGACUUUGGGAGGCCGAGGCAGGCAGAUGGCUUGAGCCCAGGAGUUUGAGACCAGCCUGGGCAACAUGGUGAAACCCUGUCCCUGCAAUACAUAAAAAAAUUGGCCGGGCGUGGUGGCGCACACCUGUAGUCCUGGCUACUUUGGAGGCUGAGGUGGGAGGAUAGCUUGAACCCGGGAGGUGGAGGCUGCAGUGAGCUGUGAUCGCACCACUGCACUCCAGCCUGGGUGACAGAGCGAGACCCUGUCUCAAAACCAAACCAAACCCAAGCAAAACAAACAAAAAACCCAGGAUUUUCUAUUUAUUUUUAUCAUUUUAGAUGCCCUGUUAAACAUGGUAUAUGUUUCCUGAUUUCUUUUCUUUUUUUUUUUUUUGAGACGGAGUCUUGCUGUCGCCCAGGCUGGAGUGCAGUGGUGCCAUCUCAGCUCACUGCAAGCUCCGCCUCCAGGGCUCAAGCAAUUCUCCUGCCUCAGCCUCCCGAGCAGCUGGGACUACAGGCGCCCACCACCACGCUUGGCUAAUUUUUUGUAUUUUUAGUAGAGACGGGGUUUCACCGUGUUACCCAGGAUGGUCUCGAUCUCCUGACCUCGUGAUCCGCCCACCUCAUCCUCCCAAAGUGCUGAGAUUACAGGCGUGAGCCACCGCGCCCGGCCCGUUUCCUGAUUUCUUAAUGCUGACGUACGGUGCUAGAAUCUUCCUUUCCUUUUGGUUACUUCAUCCCAUCUCUGCCAGUUGUCUUCCUGCUUCGACAGAACCAACCCCAGGCACAGGCACCGAGGAAGGUGACCAGACCUGCAGUCACUUGCUUUAGUUUCCUGGGGUUGCUGAACAAUGUACCACAAACUGGGUGUUAAACUUCACACCACAGAAAUGUAUUCUCUCGUAGUUCUCCAGGCCAAAAGCCCAAAAUUCAUGUGGACUAAAUGACCAAGAUUGUCAGAUGGUGGCUCACAUCUGUAAUUUCAGCACUUUGGAAGCAAAGCCUAGAGGAUCGCUUGAGCCUGGGAGUUUGAGACCAGCCUGGGCAACAUAGUGAGACCCCACCUCUAAAAAAAAAAAUAGCCGGGCGUGGUGGUGGGCGCCUGCAGUCCCAGCUACUCGGGAGGCUGAGGCACGAGAAUGGCUUGAACCCGGGAGGCGGAGGAUGCAGUGAGCCGAGAUUGCGACACUGCACUCCAGCCUGGGCGACAGAGCAAGACCGUGUCUCAAAAAUAAAAAUGAAACAAAACGCCGGGCGCGGUGGCUCACACCUGUAAUCCCAGCACUUUGGGAGGCCAAGGCGGGUGAAUCGCCUGAGGUCAGGAGUUCAAGACCAGCCUGGCCAACACAGUGAAACCCCGUCUCUACUAAAAAGGCAAAAUGAGUACGGCGUGGUGGUGGGCACCUGUAGUCCCAGCUACUUGGGAGGCUGAGGCAGGAGAAUUGCUUGAACCUGGGAGGCGGAGGUUGCAGUGAGCCGAGAUCGUGCCAUUGCACUCCAGCCUGGGGGACAAGAACGAAACUCCGUCUCAAAAAAAGAAAGAAAGAAACAAACAAACAAAACAAACAACUGGCUCUGUGUGGCUUCCAGAGACAAGAAUCAUCUGAAACAUAAAGACACAGCAAGUUUGAACAUCAAGCAAUGGAAAGAAGCAUACCACACAAAUAUUAAGUAAAAGGAAGCAGGUGUGGAUAUAUUAACAAAGUCAUUAACAUACUAACAAAGAUCAUGGAAGAAAGCAUAAUAGACACAGGAGGUCCCAUAACGAUAAAAGCUUGAGCCCCCUCCCUUACCUUCCCUUCUCCGCUGUCGCCAUCAUCUGUGCUGGACCCCGAUUCUCGCCGUGUCUUCUCACCAGACUUUCAGAAUUAAGCGAUUCCUGGCCAAGAAACAAAAGCAAAAUCGUCCCAUUCCCCAGUGGAUUCAGAUGAAAACUGGUAAUAAAAUCAGGUACAACUCCCAAAGGAGACACUGGAGAACAGCCAAGCUGGGUCUGUAAGAAUUGCACAGGAGCCGGGCGCGGUGGCUCACGCCUGUAAUCCCAGCACUUUGGGAGGCCGAGGCGGGCGGAUCACGAGGUCAGGAGAUCGAGACCAUCCCAGCUAAAACGGUGAAACCCCGUCUCUACUAAAAAUACAAAAAAUUAGCCGGG